rnacentral:rRNA from 1 species
AGUGAACGCUGGCGGUAGGCCUAACACAUGCAAGUCGAACGGCAGCACAGUAAGAGCUUGCUCUUACGGGUGGCGAGUGGCGGACGGGUGAGGAAUACAUCGGAAUCUACUUUUUCGUGGGGGAUAACGUAGGGAAACUUACGCUAAUACCGCAUACGACCUACGGGUGAAAGCAGGGGAUCUUCGGACCUUGCGCGAUUGAAUGAGCCGAUGUCGGAUUAGCUAGUUGGCGGGGUAAAGGCCCACCAAGGCGACGAUCCGUAGCUGGUCUGAGAGGAUGAUCAGCCACACUGGAACAGAGACACGGUCCAGACUCCUACGGGAGGCAGCAGCGGGGAAUAUUAGAGGAUGGGCGCAAGCCUGCUCCUGCCAUCCCGCGUGGUUGAAGAAGGCCUUCGGGUUGUAAAGCCCUUUUGUUGGGAAAGAAAAGCAGCAGGUUAAUACCCCGCUGUUCUGACGGUACCCAAAGAAUAAGCACCGGCUAACUUCGUG